rnacentral:lncRNA from 1 species
GAAACUAGGGUGGAAAUUCAUGUGUGGGGAAGAUAGCUUUUGGUGUAGAGCCCUAAGAGGAAAAUAUAGCAGAGGCAGUGAUGAUUCUUGAACUGUUACGAUCAAGAAUAAUGACUCAUGUUUAUGGAGGAAUAUUAGUAAAGAUUGGAACAAGCUUCAGGGCCUCAUCCAUUGAUAUGUGGGGAAUUGUGAGACAAUUAGUGUUUAGGAAGACUUAUGGAUACC